UACGUAGGGUGCAAGCGUUAAUCGGAAUUACUGGGCGUAAAGCGUGCGCAGGCGGUGAUGUAAGACCGAUGUGAAAUCCCCGGGCUUAACCUGGGAACUGCAUUGGUGACUGCAUCGCUCGAGUAUGGCAGAGGGGGGUAGAAUUCCACGUGUAGCAGUGAAAUGCGUAGAGAUGUGGAGGAAUACCGAUGGCGAAGGCAGCCCCCUGGGUCAAUACUGACGCUCAUGCACGAAAGCGUGGGGGAGCAAACAGG
rnacentral:rRNA from 1 species